GUAAUAGAGGGUCCAUCGUUCGAUGUUGGCUACACAGUGCUCAACUGCUCUCAGUACACAGUGCACAAGCUUGUAUGUGAACAGUUGAUCUGUUUUAGCACUGUAUUGUGUGCACAGACGUUUGCAUAGAUAUCAGCGCAAACAGAUUGUAGCGUCGGGCUGGCUGGCCGUAAAUUACGACGUACGUGUCUGUAAAGUCUACCGCCAGCUUAACACAAUGUAUCAGAUUUUUUUGUUGUAUAAUAGAUCAUUCAUUUCGGACAUUGGCAUUUAAUUUCGUUCUGUUUUCACAUGACAGCCUAUCCAAGAUCAUGAUCCGUUUAUGAAUUGUGGUCUUAUGGAUGGGAGAGAUGCAUAUUUUUAACAAUGGCAGGUGAAUGCCAUUACGAAUUUUCAUAGUUGAGAACAGCAAAGUUCUGCACAAUGUCAAUGCGUAAUGAACUUCAUAACCAAGCUCAAGCUAGAUUUGGAUGUACUUGCAGUAAUUGUAAGGAUUAUGUAGUAACACGUUACCACUGCAAUGUUUGUGAUGAUUUUGACCUGUGUGUUCAGUGCUAUGAGAAAAAUGGACAUCCUCAUAGCAUGGAGAAACGCGGUAUGGAUGAUGACAUCUCGUAUUCAAAUUUGAAGAAAGCCUAUCCUCAGGACGCGCGGAAACUUUCUGUAAUACGUUGCAUCCAGAAAUUAGUACAUGCGUGCCAGUGCCAUAAUGUCAACUGUUGCCAGCCCGGCUGUCAGAAGAUGAAACGAGUUGUACGGCAUACAAAAGUAUGUAAAAGUAAGACAAAAGAUGGCUGCAGUGUAUGCAAACAGCUUGUUGCAAUUUGCUGUUACCAUUCAAAGCAUUGCCAGAUACACAUUCACAGCCAUAUCCUUACAAGGAAGAAAAGGAAAACACUGACAGGUGAAAGAAAAAUUCAGUUGUUGCAAAGUACAGCAGCACUGCAGCAUGCAGGAGAAAGAUUCUCGCUGUCUAGCUAUAACAAGCCACUUAGAAAGAGAAGGGGAUGUGCAGAGAGGCUGAAAAUUGGGCAGCCUUUCUACAUGAUGUGGACUUUAGUUGACUGGAAAACUUGAUACAAGAAUAACUGUAAUAGCCAGAAUAAUCAAAAUCAAAAAGACUCAAUGAGUGAAGCGUGUUAAGAAGUACUAGGGAGCUUAUUCAGAAAAUUUGAGAUGUUUAUGUGAAAUCUGGAAUUGCUUGUAGUUAGGAGAGAUCCUGAAAGACUUUUUAAACAGUUCAGAGGAACCAAAAUGUUCAGUGCCAUUCUGUCCCAAAAUCAAACAUACGCUGAAGCAGCAUAAAAUUCAGCAGGUAGAUCAACUACAAAGGCGAAUGGCAGCAAUGAACAUCAGGACAACAGUACCUGUUGGUCUGCUACCAGGCAGUUCAGGGGUGCAGGAUGUUGGUGGUGCAGGUUCAGCAGUUACUCCAGUGGGUGAUUUUACACCAGCAGCAUCAGGUUCUGGCAUUUUGGUUGGUUUGCAGCCUUCACAUCGACCAGACAUUAGUGGUUUGAAGCCUGAUGCACAAACUCCCAGUGCACAUUGUGAAAUAGAUAUGCAGAUCGAGGAUUGAGGCAGUUGUUAAAGGCACACCUCAGGUACCCCAGUUGGCUGCUCUUGGUGUAGAAGGGCACUAGGAAUUCACAGUGCUCUUGAUGUGACAACACAUUGUGCAGCUAGGGGCCUGGAUACAGUUUACAAAAGUAGACCCUUCAGCAAAUACUGCAAAAAAGUCACCAAACACUCUAUAACAACAGCAACAGGUCCUCUAGAUUCUGAAAACCAAUCUACUGCUGGUGGCAGCAUUUAUUAAACAGCAGCAGGCAUCCCAAAACCUGCCGUAGCAACAAGUUGCUGUGACACAAGCAAGCUGCAGCUGCUCAGCAGCAGGUAGCAGUUACUGGGGCAAAUACUGGUGUUCUCUCAACAGGAGAGCAACAGCAGCUAAUAUUCAGCUGCUGCUGCAGCAGCUAAAUUUCACUAGCAGCAGUAGGUAGCAGCUGCAAGUAGAUAGCAGUGGAUGUGAGCCAUGAUUCUGGGCCAAAUGACGCUGGCCACACUACAUCAUUGAUACAAGCAGCAGCAGCAGCAGCAGCUGUAGUUAUUAGCACUGCAGAGACAUCAGUCUUUUUUUCAACCUCCAUCUCUUGAUAAUGGACAACAGCAGAGGAGACUUUGGCAGCAGCAUUUGGCUGGUGCAUAUGCAUGUGCCUGUUUUCCCACAGUUCCUGAACAACAUCCGGCAAAGCAUCCUCUGAAACUCACACUUCCACCUGCUCCAUCACCAUAGGGUGUUAUGGGCCCACCAGAUGGAGCUCCGAAGUUGAUGCCGGCUGUGGAAUCCUCUCUCCACUGAUUACCAUCUCCUCAUUGUUCUCCCCCCCCCCCCCCCCCUUCAUACCCACCAGCAUCAUUCAGUCAACACUCUCCAGUUCAUGAACUAAUUGGGGGAGAAACAAUGCUUAUACAGAGACAUGGACCUGUCUCACACCACCCUUCCUGGUGCAAAUGCUCAAGAUCCAAGUGACUCAAUGAAGUACUGCCAACGACUCCUCAGGAAAAGCUUAAUAAGUUUGUGGAACCAUCAUAAUAAUACCAAUACCAUAACAUGUAUAUAAAUUUUGUUGUGUCCGUUUUUCAUAUGAUAAAAACAACAUGUACUUUCAUGAAAGUUUGGAAGUACAUGGCAAGCUUUUUGACAGGUGGGAAAUGUGUCAAAUCCCAGUUGCACAGGAAUUGUGUAGUGAGAAGUAUUCAUAUGUACAGUUCCCAUGUGGUGCAUUGUAUUAGCGUAUAAAGAUAGAGAACUACCAACUGCAUCCUAAUAUCUACUUUGUCCUGUGUGUAGUGUGUGUAUAAAUAAGUGUGCAAUAUGUGGUACCUGUGCCAACCCCUCCAUAAUCAUACUGUAUUUUAUUUAAGUCUUUGAACCAUACUAAUCCCAAAGGUGAGGAAGGAAAAUCUGUAGUGCCUAUUUCAUGUUUGUCUUGCCAUUUGUGUGGUGACAUUUCAGUUGUAAAUAGCGAGUGAUUAAAUUAGUGUACUGGAAAAAGGGAAGGGCAAGGGGAAGGGGAAGGCACUGUGAACUUUGUGAACUGUAUGAAUUAUUGGCUUAGCAAGUGUGUGUGUGUGUGUGUGUGUGUGUGUGUGUGUGUGUGUGUGUGUGUGUGUGUGUGUUGGGGGGGGGGGGGGGUUGCACGUGCAUGCUCGCACCCAGGUAUUAAAGGCAUAAUAUUAGGAUACUGAGAUAUGUUACACAAUUAAACAUCAGAACCAAUAGUAAAUAUCUAUGUUCAAAGUGCAGGAAAGAAAUUAUACUUAGUAAACUAUAAGUAAAUUAAAUUUAAUUAAUGCAAGAGAAUGAACUUCAAUGCACCAAAAUGAAUAGAAUUUGGUACACUUAUUGUACAAAAUGAACAAACAAAAAAAGGGAUGUUCCCCGCUAUUACAAAUCCAUGUUAACUGUGUCUGUAAGGCUGAUCUUGUAAAUGAGAGGUAAUGUAAUUCAAGCUGCAGUACUUCGCACAUGCCCUUUCCGUUGUAAAGGAAAGAAGGUGAUAGUAGUGAAAUACUACUUGUAUCCAUGUAUAAUGUUCGACUUUAGUCAAAUAAAAUUUGUGUAGUUUAGUGAUAAAGAUAGAAAAAUAGAUUUGGAGCUCAGAGCAGUAUGAGGUCUGUUAGAAAAGUAUCCAAUGUUUAAUUUUUACCCCCUGUAAUGCCAUCAGUUACUGGCAAGCAGCAUUUAAGUGAGGUAGUGUGUAGUGCUCACAUCAGUUUUUCAUUGCAAGGAAAGUGACGGAACAACUAGAGCAGCAGUACUGCAUCAGAUUUUGCCAGAAACUGGGUGACAGCCAUUUGGAAGAUUCAAAUGGCUUUCGGUGACGGUACUGUGGGCAUCACACAGAUUAAGGAGAGCUACAACUUGUUUAAAGAUGGCUGCAGAUUGGUGGAAAGUGAGCUACACUCUGGUUGCCAUUGACUUGCCGAAAUGACCAGGUCAUUGCCAAAAUAAACACUGUGAUGAUGUAGGACCAUCGUGUGACUAUCACAGAAACUGUGGAAGAGGUGUGUAACAGCACUUUUUUGGCACAUUCCAUUAUGACCAAAGAUUUGGCCAUGAAGAGAGUGUUGGCAAAAUUUGUGCUGAAGCUGUUGAUGAUGGAGCAUAAGCGGCUUCAUGUUGAAGUCUCACAGACUUUGUGAACACCAUAAUCACAGGUGACGAGUCCUGGGUAUACAUGAACAACCUGGGAAGCAAAUCCCAGUUAGAUUUAAUAUUCUUCAUCACCAAGACCAAAGAACACCUGCAAAGUGCAGAGCGAUGUCAAAGUAGUGCCGACUGCUUUUUUUGACCUCUACAGUAUGGUACACCAAGUGUAUGCACUCAAACAGUAACCAAAGAGUACUACAGUGUUGUCCUCCAUCGUCUGUGAUACCUGAUGUUGUUUGGUGCAAGAGACCAAACUUGUAGGCAACAGGAAAUUGGUGACUGUCACAACAGUGAUCCAGCACAUUCCUCGCACUCAGUCCAGGCUUUGUGGUGAAAAAAUUAGAUUGCUGUGCUUCAGCCAGCUCCUUACUCUCAUCAUACAGCAACUUAUGGCUGUUCCCCAAACUCAAGGGGGCAUUGAAAGGAAUGCAGUUUCAGACUAGAGGACAUUUUGGCAGCAAUGACACUCAAGCUAAACACCAUUUCGAAAGAGGGUCUUUUGGCUCGCUUCCAACCGUUGUGGCACCUAUAGGAGAAGUGUGUGCAGUCCCAAGGGAAUUACUUUGAGAGUGAUUAGCUAUCCAGCAUGCCAGGCUAGACAUUUUUUUUGUGGCCAAAGAUCACAUACUUCUUUAACAGACCUCGUAGAUGUACAACUUAAUUCCCCGUGCAAAUGACAUUCCACUCAGCAAUCUUUUGUCAGGUAAAGUAAUAAUAUGGUUAGUAGAAUUACAGACUCAUAUCAGUGUCUUCAGCGUUACCACAAAUUACAUGUUAAUGACCCUAUUUGUUCUGGGAAUGCAUUACAUGUGAGGUUUCUACUUGGCUCCAUCGCCAUGGGUGGAAUGAUUUAGAGUUCUGUUAAUUUUGACCAACCUGCAGUUUCUAAAAUGUCCUCUGUUGUCCUGAGGCUGUAAUUAGCUUUUAGCAAGAAACCAAACAUAAAUAACUGGUUCUUUUACUGUUCAGGGAUGCCACUAUUGUUUAAGGAGAAAACAAGAAACUGCAUGUAACAAACUUUAUCUAUUGUCUUUUGAGCAAGUUACAUAUAAUUAAUAUAGUUACAAACUUUAUCUUGUGAUACCAUUAAUUGAUUAGGUGUUAUGGAUUCUUAAAAUGCUCUGGUUCAUUACUCCUGCACAAAAUUAAGAAUUGACGACCAUGCCAUACAACACAUCUGUACCCCAUGAUUAACCCUCUACCUGAUUAGAUAGCACUGCUGCUGCUACUUUGUUUGGGAGCCUGGUCUGUGUGUAUCUCCAAAGACACCUGAAGAGCUUCAUCUGCUUUUUUGUUUAGCUUUUGUUAUGUUUUACAUGUAAUUUUGACUUUUGAAAUAAUUAGGUGAUAGCUUGGUAUGUAGAGAUACCUAUUCGAGAAAGUUAAGUUUAAUGUACCGCUAUUAAAAUAUUAAUGAAAAUAAGUUAGCAUUCUGGCACACAGCCUCUGAACAUAUCAGCCAAUCACAUUGAUAGAUUACAAUUCUGGUGGUCUUUCCCAAAUGAAAGGUACUAUUAGUUAGUGGUACCUCACACCACUGAUUAUGCCAUAUGCAUAAUGCUGCAACCUCUGCUGCUCUGAAGAAAGAAUCUUGAAGCUAGAAAUGACGGCUGUUAAGCGAGAAAUAUCACACAUCCUCUUCCUACUUAGAUUUACAAAAAUUGGGGUGUUCUUGAAGACAACACCCAAUUUGGAAAUAAGCAAGCUUAAUGAAUUAACAAGUAUGUCUCAAUAGCCAUGCAGUCCUGUUAAUGUGAUAUUUGUAUAAAAAUAUUUUUUUAUAAUGUUGUUUACCCUGAUUUGGCACUAGUCAUUAAUAACUGUACUUUAUUGGCAUUCCAUCUUUGCAUUAAUACUAGUUACAAAAUUUGAGUUAUUCUGCUCUCGUGGAGUAGUAUACUGCUAACCUAUAAUUUCACUUAAUUAUGUGUGAUUUCUAUUAGAAAGAUGCAUGUUAUGAAAAACCAUUUUAAAAGAAUUUUUUUACAAGAAUUACUAUACCAGUGCAUUGCCAUCAUUUUCAUAAUUAAAACACUUAUUUCAUCAAGCAGAUGUUCGACUUAACAGGGUAAACAUUUACAUUUCUUAUUGGUGCAUUGCUGUCUUUUAAAUUUAUAAAAAAGAUAUGAUGGAUGCUAAACCCAGAAAUAUCACACAGAUGUUUCUGGCAUGUUGUUUGUUAGAAAAUUCAUUUUAGACACACUUUCCUUGAUUUCUAGUUCCUUGAAGAAUCAGAUUAAAACAGCAGAUCAACAAAACUUGCCUUGGAGUUCCUGUUGGAAGUACCUGAAAAAAAACCAGUAAUUUGCAUUACAGCUUAUGUAUGUGCUGUGAGCAAUGCGCGAAGACGACUGUUAGCUUCUGGAGAGCUUGUAUUUUUUACUAUUCCCAUCCCCCCCUCCCCAGAUGUAUGUAACUGUAUGAAGAAGUAUAGUGGGAGGAUAUGAGAUGGGAAAUUUUGCAUCAGUGUUCGCUCUUACAUUACUUCUUUUAUUGUAUGUAGUGCUAUGUAUUUAAAAGUGGUGCAAAAUACUUGGUUUCUAUUGUUAUUUGUAUUAUUACUUCUGUAAGGUUUGUUUUGUUUGAAAACAGUUGCCUUUUCUUGCUGGUUAUAAGAGAAAUCUGAAAUUUCUUGUUUCCAAUACUCUCUGUACUUCCUGCAUGUCUUUGAGGAAGGAGGCACUGACAUCCUGUUUUGUACACUGCAGGUUUUUUGUUCUUUUUUAUUUACUGUUAUUGGUACAGAUUUUUAAAAAUAUACAUUAAGUGUAUGGAUAUAUGUUACAGAGAGCUUGGUAAGUCAUACACUGAAAAAAUUUUGGUAACCCUUUUGCUAUGUUCAGUUAGUUGUGUGAGUAUAAUAAUGAGGAUUUUUCAGUGAGAAAGGUGUAAAUCACAUGUUUGUUUGCAUACAUACAUUUAUGUACAGUUCGUGUAUUUUAUAAUAUAACAACAAUCUGAUUGAAGUGAGAUCUCAAAUUUUUAAUGUUUGUAUUUUUGUUUAUUUAUAUUGCCAGAAUUGAUGUAAUUGAAAGUGUAAUCUAGGUGUAGUACAAAAUACAUUUGUAGCAGGCACAACUUUGAGAUAUUAGUAGCGUAGUAGGGACAUCUGUUGCCAUAAUCUCCUCUCCACCCAUGUAUUGUAUAAUGCCCAACUUGAUUGGAAAGGGCAUUUCAGUGGCUUUAAAUUUUUAAGACUUGUAAUGCUCUAAAAGGUUUUCUUUUAGCCAUUAAAAUUCUUUGAAGACUUACAAAGAUUUUAUAGUGAUAAUGCCAUUAAAGUUGGACACUAACAAUAGGAGUGUGUCCUGUGUGUAAGAUUUAACAGAAAUAUCACUUUUUUUCAACACUCUGGUCCUUGAUAUAUUUAUUACCUGUACCUAUUUCAGAAAGAUGUCUAAAAAAAACUGCACUGAACAGUCAUGCCAGGUUUUGUAUUAUAGUUUGGUUGCUUAAAUUUCAGUUAAGUGAAUUCAUUUCUUUCCACGUUGUGUUGCUCAGUAUUGCAACAAUUUUGCAAAGUGAAAUAGUAUAUUUGUUUAAGAGUGCAUGCCCAUAACUGAGUGCUGUUUGGAACACUUGCUUCUUUCAAGUUGUUCUUUUAAGUGUUCCUUUUAUUGUUGUUAUCAUUAAAUAUAAUCAGUGGGCAGACUGUUAAAGUCGUUCUGUGAAAGAUCUCCACGUAAAUAGUUGUUCCUGUGUUGUUCAUCAAAAUAUAGAGAAAUAAUUCAGGAUUUCUUCAUGAUUAAAUCAAGUGGAUCCUUUGAGGGUUGAUAACCAUUGUAUUAUGUUCCAUAAAAACAUGGGAAAACUGCCGGACAUCAGUAACACUCUGCCACGAUAUUUCGGCGCAGAGUCUUCUGGCCAUCUUCAGGUGAGUGCCACUGUAGUAGUAUUGGCGAGUACACGCUGAGCUCCGCCAUUUAAAGCCGUACUGAGGUUUAAAUAGUGGAGCUCAGCACAUACUCACCAGUACUACUACAGUGGCACUCACCUGAAGAUGGCCAGAAGACUCUGCGCUGAAAUAUCGUGGCAGGAUGUUACUGAUAGCCGGCAGUUCUCCUGUGUUUUUAUGGAACAAUCAGUACGCCGGGAAAGCUUUAAACAUCACAUUGUAUUAUGGUUUCUUCAGUAUGAUAAGUCAGUUGUACAAAUGCAUUAUUAAAUUAAUAAAUUUCAGCUAUUGAUCAGUGA